GGGGAAUUGUUCACAAUGGGCGCAAGCCUGAUGACGCAACGCCGCGUGGGGGAUGAAGGUCUUCGGAUUGUAAACCCCUGUCGAAUGGGACGAAAGACUCGCGAGUGAAUCCUUCGCGAGAGUGACGGUACCGUUAAAGGAAGCCACGGCUAACUCUGUGCCAGCAGCCGCGGUAAUACGGCGGGUGCGAGCGUUGUCCGGAAGCACUGGGCGUAAAGGGCGCGUAGGCGGCAUGCCAAGCGUGUGGUGAAAGCCCGGGGCUCAACCCCGGGUCGGCCGUGCGGACUGGCGUGCUCGAGCACUGUAGGGGCGGGUGGAAUUCCGGGUGUAGCGGUGGAAUGCGUAGAGAUCCGGAAGAACACCGGUGGCGAAGGCGGCCCGCUGGGCAGGAAGACACCGCAAGGUGUCGGCUGACGCUGAGGCGCGACAGCGUGGGGAGCAAA
rnacentral:rRNA from 1 species